GAUGAACGCUGGCGGCGUGCCUAAUACAUGCAAGUCGAGCGAACAGACGAGGAGCUUGCUCCUCUGACGUUAGCGGCGGACGGGUGAGUAACACGUGGAUAACCUACCUAUAAGACUGGGAUAACUUCGGGAAACCGGAGCUAAUACCGGAUAACAUGUUGAACCGCAUGGUUUAACAGUGAAAGACGGUCUUGCUGUCACUUAUAGAUGGAUCCGCGCCGCAUUAGCUAGUUGGUAAGGUAACGGCUUACCAAGGCAACGAUGCGUAGCCGACCUGAGAGGGUGAUCGGCCACACUGGAACUGAGACACGGUCCAGACUCCUACGGGAGGCAGCAGUAGGGAAUCUUCCGCAAUGGGCGAAAGCCUGACGGAGCAACGCCGCGUGAGUGAAGAAGGUCUUCGGAUCGUAAAACUCUGUUAUUAGGGAAGAACAAAUGUGUAAGUAACUAUGCACGUCUUGACGGUACCUAAUCAGAAAGCCUCGGCUAACUACGUG
rnacentral:rRNA from 1 species